UAUUGAAUCCAUGAAUAACACAACCAACCACUUUUUGAAAGAAUAUCAAUUUUUGAUUUUGAUCCAAGAGACUUUUGAAAGAUGUGUGUAUUUUGCAUCAACUAUCAAGAUAGCUGAUUGGAAAGGGAUCGGAACGAAUCCUCCGCUGCAGAAUCUGGCCAUAAGCAUUCCUAAGUUUCUGGCCCCCUCAAUAUUGCUCUGUCUAUUCUGCACCUUGCAGCCUCAAUAUUGCUCUGUCUAUUCUGCAUGUUGAGAUUUGGGUUAGCAUCUUAAUGCCUUAAUGCUCAUGGAACUCACCUGGCUUUACCAUAUAGUAAAGGGAUUAAUCAAGACAAUGUAGGCAACCCAGUUCAGUUCAUGGUUAGUAUGCUUCUUUAUUUCUAAUGUAAACAUGAUUCCACUUGAAAUUAAACACAAAAA